GACGAACGCUGGCGGCGUGCUUAACACAUGCAAGUCGAACGGAAAGGCCCUGCUUUUGUGGGGUGCUCGAGUGGCGAACGGGUGAGUAACACGUGAGUAACCUGCCCUUGACUUUGGGAUAACUUCAGGAAACUGGGGCUAAUACCGGAUAGGAGCUCCUGCCGCAUGGUGGGGGUUGGAAAGUUUCGGCGGUUGGGGAUGGACUCGCGGCUUAUCAGCUUGUUGGUGGGGUAGUGGCUUACCAAGGCUUUGACGGGUAGCCGGCCUGAGAGGGUGACCGGCCACAUUGGGACUGAGAUACGGCCCAGACUCCUACGGGAGGCAGCAGUGGGGAAUAUUGCACAAUGGGCGGAAGCCUGAUGCAGCAACGCCGCGUGCGGGAUGAAGGCCUUCGGGUUGUAAACCGCUUUCGCCUGUGACGAAGCGUGAGUGACGGUAAUGGGUAAAGAAGCACCGGCUAACUACGUG
rnacentral:rRNA from 1 species